GUUGGUUUGGCUCAGCCAGUAGAGCGGGCAUGAAUUUUAACAUGCGGGCGUGGAUUCGAAUCUCAUAGUUAACG
rnacentral:tRNA from 1 species